CCCGCCUCGGCCCGGCCGGCUCCCAGACGAGCACGUGCUAUGCGCGGCCCCCCGCGCCCCCGCCUCGGGCGCCACGCAGGCAGCGCUCCCGGCGGGGCGCCCCGCUCUGCGCCGUUCCCUCCGCCGUCGCCCAGCCACCGCCUUUCGCACGCGCCGGAACCGCUUUUGUGGUCUCCGAGACACUCAUUUGCUGUCCUGGUUUCCAAAGCUCCACGUGCUCAGCGCCGAAAACUUGCAAAUCAUUUGCUGUCUAUACUGGGCGCCCGCUGCGUGCCAGGUACUGCCACCGGCUCUCUCCUCACGGUGGAAUAACUUAACAGAGAAGACAGACAUCAAUCAAAUACCCUGGAAACGUGGAAGGCAGGGGAAAGAACAAAGGGAGAGCAAAAUCGCCCCAAUCCCACAUCACCCGCGACGUGAAAGGAUUUGUCCUUCCAGCUGCGGGACUCCUAUUUGUUUAUUUCAACCCCGCGCCAGCUCCAGGCACAGCCGUUCAGGGUGAUGCCAAAGGGAAAUGAGAACGCCUGGUUUCGAGUGCCAGCCUGAGGCCCCUUAAGCCCUAGCCUGGCUCCAAAAACUGCAGCCUGUUUCCCUCAACAAAAAUGACGUCAAGAAUACCUAGAUGUGACCACACCGAACUUGCUUGCCCGUUUUGGGAAACCCAACUUUCUUCCUGAAUAGUCAGAACCUCUGGCUUUCCUGGUCUCUUAAGAACCGCAAACUAUUGAAAAGCAGAUGCGUCUUUCAGCCUCUUUAAUAAAUGCAGUAAGGAGA
rnacentral:lncRNA from 1 species